AACGAACGCUGGCGGCAUGCCUAACACAUGCAAGUCGAACGAGACCUUCGGGUUUUGUUGCGCACGUGUGCGUAACGCGUGGGAACCUGCCCUUAGGUUCGGAAUAACUCCCCGACAGGGGUGCUAAUACCGGAUAAUAUCUUCGGACCAAAGAUUUAUCGCCUUUGGUUGGGCCCGCGUUGGAUUAGCUAGUUGGUAGGGUAAAAGCCUACCAUGGCGACGAUCCAUAGCUGGUCUGAGAGGAUGAUCAGCCACACUGGGACUGAGACACGGCCCAGACUCCUACGCAAGGAAGCAGUGGGGAACAUUAGACAAUGGACGAGAGACUGAUCCAGCAAUGCCGCGUGAGUGAUGAAGGACUUAGGAUUGUAAAGCUGUUUUACCCGGGCCGAUAAUGACAGUACCGGGAGAAUAAGCUCCGGCUAACUCCGUG
rnacentral:rRNA from 1 species